AAAAACGUUGGGAAAACGGGAAAUUCAGUAAAAUAUUAAACAAAUAUCAUUAAAAAAAUAUAUAUAUUAUGCAUAUUAUGUAAUUAAUUUAACCUGAUAUUAUAUAUUAUACAUUGCUGACAAAGCAACACUAUUAACCGAACUCCACUCCGAGUCGUUUUUCGUUAGCAAAUGUUAAUCGAUCCGUACCGAUAUACGCAUUAAAUUUCCCCGCUACC